rnacentral:rRNA from 1 species
AACGAACGCUGGCGGCAGGCUUAACACAUGCAAGUCGAACGCAUCCUUCGGGGUGAGUGGCAGACGGGUGAGUAACGCGUGGGAACGUGCCCUUCAGUUCGGGAUAACCCAGGGAAACUUGGGCUAAUACCGGAUACGUGCGAGAGCAGAAAGAUUUAUCGCUGAAGGAUCGGCGCGCGUCUGAUUGGCUAGUUGGUGGGGUAAUGGCCCACCAAGGCGACGAUCAGUAGCUGGUCUGAGAGGAUGAUCAGCCCCAUUGGGACUGAGACACGGCCCAAACUCCUACGGGAGGCAGCAGUGGGGAAUAUUGGACAAUGGGCGCAAGCCUGAUCCAGCCAUGCCGCGUGAGUGAUGAAGGCCUUAGGGUUGUAAAGCUCUUUCGUCCGGGACGAUAAUGACGGUACCGGAAGAAGAAGCCCCGGCUAACUUCGUGCCAGCCGCCGCCGUAA